UCCGGUUGAUCCUGCCGGAGGCUACCGCUAUUGGAAUCCGAUUAAGCCAUGCGAGUCGAGAGAUUUCGGAUCUCGGCGGACGUCUCAGUAACACGUGGAUAAUCUGCCCUUGAGUGGGGGAUAAACUCGGAAACCUGAGUAUAAUACCCCAUAGGUCUAGGAUGCUGGAAUGCUUCUAGGCCGAAAGCUCCGGCGCUCAAGGAUGAAUCUGCGACCUAUCAGGCUGUAGUGGGUGCAACGGACCCACUAACCUUCGACGGGUACGGGCCUUGAGAGAGGUUGCCCGGAGUUGGACUCUGAGACACGAGUCCAGGCCCUACGGGGUACAGCGGGCGCGAAAACUUCACAAUGUGGGAAACCACGAUGAGGGGAUUCCAAGUGCUAACACAAUGUGUUAGCUGUUCACCUGCCUAAAAAGCUGGUGAAGUAAGGGCCGGGUAAGACGGGUGCCAGCCGCCGCGGUAAUACCUGCGGCCCGAGUGGUGGCCGUUAUUAUUGAGCCUAAAGCGUCCGUAGCCGGUUCAGUAAAUCUCUGGGUAAAUCGGGCAGCUUAACUGUCCGAAUUCCGGAAAGACUGCUGAACUUGGGACCGGGGGAGGUUGGAGGUACUCCUGGGGUAGGGGUGAAAUCCUGUAAUCCUGGGGGGACCACCAGUGGCGAAGGCGUCCAACCAAAACGGCUCCGACGGUAAGGGACGAAGCCCUGGGGCGCAAACGGGAUUAGAUACCCCGGUAGUCCAGGGUGUAAACGCUGCAGGCUUGGUGUUGGGGGUCCUACGAGGGCGCCCAGUGCCGGAGAGAAGUUGUUAAGCCUGCCGCUUGGGGAGUACGUCCGCAAGGAUGAAACUUAAAGGAAUUGGCGGGGGAGCACAGCAACGGGUGGAGCGUGCGGUUCAAUUGGAUUCAACGCCGGGA
rnacentral:rRNA from 1 species